GGGGCGCAUGUUCCAAGGCUAGGCGAGACGGUCUCCAAAACCGUUUGGGCAGGUUCGAUUCCUGUCGCCCCU
rnacentral:tRNA from 1 species